UUGACGGAUAAGUGACGAGUAUUUUUUAAUAAACUUGUGAAAGAGAGUUUUGAUGGUCAAUAUAAUGGAACAUUUAAAAUGCUGGUCAAUUUAAUGGAGGUUGGUUUUAUCAGCGUUGGCGGCUAGACGAAUUUUGGUAGUGCACGCGAUCAAACUAAUGACACCAAAUGCGUGUAGUCGAGGUAUCAUGAUAGUACUAUACAUGUGUCAGAAUGUGAUUUUCAUAUAUUGAAGGAGAGGAGGCAAACUUAAUUAAUCUGAUGACUGACAAGAACAUACCUAGCUAGCAUUGUAUUUUGUAUUAGUAUUGUUGUUGUGUCAUCAUCCAUAUUAAAUCUAGUUUGCUUGUAUCUAUAUGUUGUUGGCAAAUUAAAAGAAACAAGAAGUCGAAUAAUUAAUAAUGUAUUAGAUUAAGCAACGUUAAUUAUAAAGUAAUCGAACAUCAUAGAGCUAUGAUUUGAUUAUAUCUUGACAGAUGGUACAUAUUUUUCGGUUGCAUCAACUUGUAAUGAAUUCAACAAUUCAAAUACGAAGACGGAACACCCAAUGCAAACAUAAUAUCACAUAAAAUGAAAAAAAAAAAAAAAAAAAACCAAUUAACCGGAGAAA